GACGAACCGAGCGAACGUUGUUCGGAAUCACUGGGCUUAAAGGGCGCGUAGGCGGGCUAUCAAGUCUGGGGUGAAAUGCCGCGGCUCAACCGUGGAACUGCCUCAGAUACUGACGGCCUCGAGGGAGGUAGGGGCAUGCGGAACUGUAGGUGGAGCGGUGAAAUGCGUUGAUAUCUACAGGAACUCCGGUGGCGAAAGCGGCGUGCUGGACCUCUUCUGACGCUGAGGCGCGAAAGCUAGGGGAGCAAACGGG
rnacentral:rRNA from 1 species